rnacentral:rRNA from 1 species
UGCCAGACUCCUACGGGAGGCAGCAGUGGGGGAUAUUGCACAAUGGGGGGAACCCUGAUGCAGCGACGCCGCGUGGGUGAAGAAGCGCCUCGGCGCGUAAAGCCCUGUCAGCAGGGAAGAAAAUGACGGUACCUGAAGAAGAAGCCCCGGCUAACUACGUGCCAGCAGCCGCGGUAAUACGUAGGGGGCAAGCGUUAUCCGGAUUUACUGGGUGUAAAGGGAGCGUAGACGGCCAGACAAGUCAGAAGUGAAAGCCCAGGGCUCAACCCUGGGACUGCUUUUGAAACUGCCGGGCUGGAGUGCAGGAGAGGUAAGCGGAAUUCCUAGUGUAGCGGUGAAAUGCGUAGAUAUUAGGAGGAACACCAGUGGCGAAGGCGGCCUGCUGGACGAUGACUGACGUUGAGGCUCGAAAGCGUGGGGAGCAAACAGGAUUAGAUACCCGUGUAU